AGAGCGAACGCUGGCGGCAGGCCUAACACAUGCAAGUCGAGCGCCCCGCAAGGGGAGCGGCAGACGGGAGAGUAACACGUGGGAACGUACCCUUUGGUUCGGAACAACACAGGGAAACUUGUGCUAAUACCGGAUAGGCCCUUACGGGGAAAGAUUUAUUGCCAAAGGAUCGGCCCGCGUCUGAUUAGCUUGUUGGUGAGGUAACGGCUCACCAAGGCUACGAUCAGUAGCUGGUCUGAGAGGAUGAUCAGCCUCACUGGGACUGAGACACGGCCCAGACUCCUACGGGAGGCAGCAGUGGGGAAUAUUGGACAAUGGGCGCAAGCCUGAUCCAGCCAUGCCGCGUGGAUGAUGAAGGCCCUAGGGUUGUAAAGUCUUCGACGGGAAGAUAAUGACGGUACCGAGAAGAAGCCCGGCUACUUCGUGCCAGCAGCCGC
rnacentral:rRNA from 1 species